UUAGCAAUCGAAAAAAACUGUAAACACAAAAACAUCUCUAUAUUUAGUAUUUUGAUUGCCAACAAGGUUUAUUUGAGCUAUGGUCAGCUGCAUUUUAAAUUUCCAUAGUAACGACCGACGCCAGUGCAUCACUGGCAGGAAUCAGCAAAUUGUCUGUGGUAUUGAGAGUGAAUCGAAGAACAGGAUCUGCAGACAGCACUUUGCGGAGGCAGACUUCGAGAUGAAGGGCACUUUCGAUGCGGCAACCGGGAGUUUCCGAAUGGAGAGGAGUCAUAGGCCCACGUUGAAGCCCUCUGCUUGCGCCUCCGUUUGACAUUUAGAGGGUUAUGGUGUAGGGGUUCCCGACCGACCAUCAUCAAAAGCAACUGAGCGGAGGAAGCGACGCGAGUCAAUGCAAUGGAGCCCCAGAGAUGACAUCUUCAUCCCUGAAAAUGUUUUAAUCCUGGAUGGGGACUGUGCAGGAGG